UGGGGCUGUAGCUCAGUUGGUAGAGCAUUUACCUUGCAUGUCUGAGGCACUGGGUUUGAUCCUCAGCACCACAA
rnacentral:tRNA from 1 species